UCUAAGUAUCACAGCCACAGUUGGUGAAUACGAUUCAACUCUAGAGGAAGGAACAGAGCAAGUCUUUGAUGUCAGUGUUCCAGACGGCGUCUCUCAACAUCCAGGUUUUAGCUUUCAAAACCAAACCAACGAUAUUUCUAUUUUAACACUAAGUACACCUAUCGAUAUGUCCAGGAUCUGUGCUAAGCCAGUCUGUCUGAACCCUACCUAUCAGCUGACAUCAGGUCAACAAUGCAAAAUAGCUGGAUGGGGUCGGCUUAAUGAAAACGAUGCCCUACCAUCUGAUACACUACAGACUACCACAAUCACUAUAUAUCAAGGCGGCGACUGCGCUGCUGCGUUUCCUGACGCCCCACCGAACUACAUUAGUGAUCCCUCCACACAACUUUGUGCGGGACAACCUGCUG
rnacentral:sRNA from 1 species